CCUGGGAUUCCGAGGAGUUUCCAUUCGGUGAUCAGCACUGAACACAGAAGACCAACCAUGGAGUUUGGGCUGAGCUGGGUUUUCCUUGUUGCUAUUUUAAAAGGUGUCCAGUGUGAGGUGCAGUUGGUGGAGUCUGGAGGGGGCUUGGUACAGCCUGGGGCGUCCCUAAAACUCUCCUGUGCAGCCUCUGGAUUCACCUUCAGUAGCUAUGGCAUGCACUGGGUCCGCCAGGCUCCAGGGAAGGGGCUGGAGUGGGUGGCAGUUAUAUGGUAUGAUGGAAGUCAGAAAUACUACGCAGACUCCGUGAAGGGCCGAUUCACCAUCUCCAGAGACAAUUCCAAGAACACGCUGUAUCUGCAAAUGAACAGCCUGAGAGCCGAGGACACGGCCGUGUAUUACUGUGCGAGAGACACAGUGAGGGGAAUAUUGUAAUUACCACCUGCCCUG